GUGACCUCGGAUCAGGUAGGACUACCCGCUGAACUUAA
rnacentral:rRNA from 1 species